rnacentral:rRNA from 1 species
GACGAACGCUGGCGGCGUGCUUAACACAUGCACGUCGAACGGUGAAGCAGAGCUUGCUCUGUGGCUCAGUGGCGAACGGGUGAGUAACACGUGAGUAACCUGCCCUUGACUUUGGGAUAAGCGUUGGAAACGACGUCUAAUCCCGGAUAAGAGCUGAGACCGCCAGGUAAUCCUUCGGAAAGAUUUUUUGUUCAAGGAUGGACUCGCGGCCUAUCAGCUUGUUGGUGCGGUAAUGGCUCACCAAGGCGACGACGGGUAGCCGGCCUGAGUGGGUGACCGGCCACACAGGGAAUGAGACACGGCCCAGACUCCUACGGGAGGCAGCAGUGGGGAAUAUUGCACAAUGGGCGCAAGCCUGAUGCAGCAACGCCGCGUGAGGGAUGACGGCCUUCGGGUUGUAAACCUCUUUUAGUAGGGAAGAAGCGAAAGUGACGUUACCUGCAGAAAAAGCACCGGCUAACUACGUG